UCGGUAUGUACUGGCUUUACUGAUUCCUCCUUCUUGACGAACCGUGAUGUCAUUAAUUUGGUGUUGCGGGAAAUCAGGACUGUUACUUUGAGAAAAUUAGAGUGUUUAAAGCAGGCUAACGCUUGAAUACAUUAGCAUGGAAUAAUGAAAUAGGACGUUAAUCCUAUUUUGUUGGUUUCUAGGAUCGACGUAAUGGUUAAUAGGGAUAGUUGGGGGCAUUAGUAUUCAAUUGUCAGAGGUGAAAUUCUUGGAUUUAUUGAAGACUAACUACUGCGAAAGCAUUUGCCAAGGAUGUUUUCAUUAAUCAAGAACGAAAGUUAGGGGAUCGAAGACGAUCAGAUACCGUCGUAGUCUUAACCAUAAACUAUGCCGACAAGGGAUCGGAUGAUGUUAUUUUUAAUGACUCAUUCGGCCCCUACGG
rnacentral:rRNA from 1 species